GAGGCUAAAAUAUCUGUUCCAUUUGCUCUUAUAAUCUAAUUCUCUCCAUGUCUGUUUCUUAAAGAAUCAUCAUUUUCUAACGCUGAUUUAUUUAAGUUCAUUCUGAACUGGUGGAUAGUGGAAAUAUCUAAUCCAGUGCAUGGGAAUUUAUUAAUAUGGGUUUGUCUUUUUGUUGUCUGCUGUUUGUUUCCCCCAUGCUGUCUUUAGCUCUCACGUUCUAGCUCAAUGAGUUCUUUAUCACGCGAAGUGAGUCAGCAUUUAAACCAGGUACCUCUAGCUGGGCCUCCAAUGGUCCACACUCACCCCUGCCUGCCACCCAUCCAGCUCACCACAUCACUAGUAACACGCUUCACCAUUUGCACCUGAAGCUUCACCGCCCAUUCGACCAAGGAUGUCUGUCUGCUCCCCUGCCUGCUGUCUCCAGCAUUACUAACUUAACUCUGUAUCAUUGAUGAUCAAUAACCAAAACCAGCGAAUGGUCAACAAAUUAAAACUAAUGCAGUAACUGCAAUAAACUUACUUUUUUAUAGCCUUGCUAAAAGGAUUAACCCUAGUGAGUCUGGGGAUCACGUCGCUUUUAAUCAAGCGUUUUCUACCAGGUCAAAAUUUCAAUUUGUCCAACACGUUGGUUUGGACCAGAUACCUGCAAAACUAAUGACAUUCCCAUCACCUGCAAUUUCUGUUUAUCGCUAAUUAGAAAAUGUUAGCAUGAUAAACUGAGAUUAUGAACAUAAUCUAUCCCUACAGUGCAGCUCAGAGCACUGCUGACCCUAAGUACAGUCUCAUAGAGCCACAGGCAAGGCUGUAGACUCUGUUUUGUGUAUACUACAGAAGUGAACCAUCUACUUCUCUUGAAAGUCGCUGGGUAACUGAGCCAUAGAUCAGAGUAAGGCAUGCUGGAGACUGUUGCAGGACGACUCACUUGCUUUUUGUCAUGACACCUCACAGCUUCAAUAACCCAUCAUAAAGCUUGCAUAGUUAAUAAAAAGUGAAACAGUGGUUUGUAAUGCUGCCACUCUGUGGAUCCAAGUACUCUUCGUCGUUACUUUUGCUUGUGUUCUGUUUUAAAAUGUUGCCAAACCAUUGUGUGCAUCCCCCUCUCUGUCUCUGCCCAUAGAGGUAAUGGGACAGUAACACUGCACACACUGUAGUAACUCAUCUUGUCCUUUGCAGAGUCAUCCUGCCCCGGGACCUCCAACCGCUGGCGGUGUCACCUUUUAUAACCCUGCACAGUUUGCACAGACAAGUGCACCAUCAGGAGGACACCGCGCUGGUCGUUUGGGUGGUCAGCGCCAGUACCCAGUGUUAAAGUAAACAUCAAUUUUGCAGAGAGAUAGUGCAAACAGACUUGUUGGAUAGAGUGAUAUCCUACCUGGAAGCACAUGGACAUACUGCUCUCUGUCUAAAAGACCCUUUCUAUUUUUCCUCACACCUAAGAAGAGCGUAAUCACAGUCUCCAUCAUGUCAACCUUUUGUCCAACAGCUUAACCACUCGGUCAUCUUUCUCUUUGGUUCUAGAUUUGUCAAUGGUGUAAUUUUCACAGGCUCGGUGUUUCCUUUAAGGGCUUUUUCCUGCAUCCAAACAGACAGUUGUAAAAUGGGUUUUAACAAAGGCUUAUCCAUGGAUGCAUUCAUACACAAAACUGUCUGUUCAUGAAGGCAUAAUUUAGUGUACAAUAAAUAUGUUGCUCCUCUAAGCUGUCCAGCUUCCCCUCAAACAUAACACUGUCCUGUUUUAGUUUUCCCUUUGUGUCUAAAGUCCAAAAGUCCAUGUUUGAUUGACUGACUGAUUGUAUGUAUGAUGGAUAGAAAGAAAGUGACAAAAAAAAAAAAAAAAAAAAUCAUAUUGUGGACUUAUAUAUGCAUUUGCUGCUCUAUAGAGUUCCUCUGUCAACUGGAGAUUUGUGUGAGAAUGAAUCGUGUCAAUAGUGCAUUGUCUGCUGUGUUGCUUUAACCCAGUCGCCCUCCGGUAAAGGAUGGAUGUUGAAAGACACAAGAAAAGACCCGUAGCUGAAAGUGGAGAACAUCUGUAUUGUUAGGAUGCUGCUUGUUUCCGAUAUUUAUUUAAUAGCCCUCCCUGCCCAUCAGCAACUCUCAACUUUAAAGAUGUGUCAGGGUCUUUCGUCCAAGUUAGGCUUCGCUUUUUCCUCUGAGAAAGGUGACAAUAUCACUGAAAUGAGGGGUGGUCUUCAGAGUAGCAGGAAUUGGGAUUAAACUGCAUUUUAAAUGUUACUAAAAAUAAAUCUAUCCAAAUAUUUGUAUAUCAGAUUGAUUGUAUUUAUGAGCUGUAGUAAUAAAGGUGUGUGUGUGGAAAGCAAUUAAUUAUUUCUGAUUAGCUUUGAAGAAAUUGAUUUAUGAUUCACCAGAUAUGACGUGGACUCUUGUAUUUGCCGCUUCUGCAGACAAAUAUUUAUGUAAAUUGUGACAUGAGAGCUAAUUAUACUCUAAAUACUUUGUCAUUUUCAGUUACUGAUGAUUUUAAUUCAAUCAUUUAUCACCCCAAAUGUUUGAUUUAAUGAUUUUGUAGAUAUCAGGUUAUGAUUUUAAAAGGUCCCCUUUUGUUUCAGAGAAGCAAUUGUUUUUCUCAAUGUUUUAGGAUUCCUCAUGUAAAAUUCUUGACAUAAAACCGUAAAUACAAAAGGUGGAAACGAAUUGGUAAUAAAGUUAUUUUUUGCGCUCUGUAGCACUUUGAAA